rnacentral:lncRNA from 1 species
CCCGCGGACAGCUGGGCCAGGGUGCGGGCCUGCGCCUCCCUCGGCUCCUGGCGCGGGCCUCGGGGAGAGGCUCUAAGAUGGAGGACAGCGAUAUCUGCCCUAGGCACACCACAGGGUGAUUGCAGGGUUGACACUGCCUGCCUGAAAACGAAGGAGCGCCGGUUCUCAACCCGGCAACCAGUAGAAUCGCUUGGGAAGCCUCCAAAUGCUGAUGCCCCAUCAUCACCGGGGAAUUGUGAUCUGCGGCCAGGACCGAGAUCCACGGGCCCAGAGUGAAAUGACAGUACUGUGAUCACGACUGGAAUAUGCACUUCGCCGAACGUGGAUCACAGUCUUGAGAAAGCAAGCAGCUGGGUUUUUGUUUUGUUUUUUUUCCAAGAAGACAGGGACCUAAUCUGGUUUGCUCGCAUUUAAUUCCUAGUGCCUAGAAUGGUGCAUGUCCCAAAACAUGCACCAUUGAUUAAAUAAUUUCUGAUUACUUCCCGACCUAUUUGGAGGGUUUUCAUUAUAUUUGUUUUAAAAUUAUUAUGGAAACCUUCAAGUCAUAUAUGAAAAUUGAAUAGUAACUGAACUCCCAAUUCAUGAUCAAUUCUGUUUCAUCUGUUACCCUCUCCCCCACUGUAGUAUUUUGAAGCAAAUCUGAAAUGUACCAUUCCAUCUGUUACCUUGUUCAUGUUUAUAAAACACAAUAACACCUUUUUAAAACAUAAAGCCAUUAUCAGUGUACUUAGCACUUCAUUUUACCCUCUACUAUCCAGUCAGCAUUUACAUUUUCCUAGUUGUCUCUUUCCUCUUACCCAGUUUGUCCAAAUCAGUAUCCAAACAAUCUACACACGUUAUAUUUGGUUGAUGUCUCUUAGAUCUCUCUUAAUCUUUUUCUCUUGCUCUUUAUUUUGUUCCC